AUGGCCGCCGCCGCGUCAGCAAACCCCGGCACAGCGUACAAGCUCCUCCUCUNNNNNNNNNNNNNNNNNNNNNNNNNNNNNGUUUGUGUGAGGUUUGAUCCGUCCUUCGACCGGAUCCCCCACCCGGACGCAUCCCUGGAGGAGUCUAUAGGCGAGAUAUGGAAUCAAAGGCUCCAGCAGAACCCAUCGCUGUACAACGGAACGAAAUUUCGGUAUGGAGGGCAUGCCUUGCACCGCAGUGAUGAGUCAAAUCAUGAGUACUGUGUCUCACUUCAUUUGGGACUCACAGAUUAUAGGACAUUUGUUGGAACAAAUCUCAGUCCACUGUGGGAGAAAUUUUUGGUCCCCUCUCAAGAUGACUCUGUGUGUUGCCAACACAUGUCAAAUCCACUGGGAAAUGGUGCAAUCGUUGAAACAUCUGAUGAAAAAAUUAUUGUAUUGCAAAGGAGCAACAAUGUCGGCGAGUCUCCUGGACACUAUGUUUUUCCUGGAGGACAUUCUGAGCCACAAGAAGUUGGAAUCUUGGCUCAUCAAAAUGACGAAAAAGAUGUUGCUGGUCUCACUGAAAGAAUUUCUGAUGAAAUGUUUGAUGGAAUCAUCCGUGAAGUAGUUGAGGAAACCGGAGUUCCUGCUAGUUCACUGACAGAACCCAUUCUCAUUGGAGUUUCUCGACGAGAAACGAAUGUUAGGCCAGCAGCAUUCUUUUAUAUGAGAUGUAACAUUGAUUCCAGCGCCAUAACUGAGCUUUAUGCUAGAGCUCAAGAUGGUUAUGAAUCCACUAAGAUCUAUGCAGUAUCGGUGAAAGACUUACGAGAUAUGAGCCAGCGGUUGCCUGGUUGCCACCUAGGGGGUUUUGCUCUGUAUGAACUUAUGAGGAACGCUUCGGAAAGUUUGUGA
rnacentral:rRNA from 1 species